GCACAAAAUAUUUCUAAAAAUAUUUCCCAAAAUAUUUUCAUUUCCCGCUUCUCCUCCUUCCCCUUCUCUGGUUCCCGCUUCUCUCUCCUUCCCCUCUCUAGUUAUCUGGUUCUCUGCUCAAUCCCCUUCUCUAGCUUCUAACAAGCUGUUGAUGUUCCCCCUACCACAGACGUUUUUCCCUUACCGUCGACGCUUCCUCUUCCAGCCGUGGAUUAAAAACCCUAAUUUGUAAUUGUAACCUGCUUGUUGAUGUUGAUUGAUGUUGGUUUGAGCAGUUGAGCUUCAUGAUUCAACCUCUAGUGAGCGUCGCUUCUCUUGCUACUCCUAUCAAUUUUUGUUUUACAUAUUCUUUCUAUGUAUUUGAAGUUUUAUUUUUCUAGGGUUUCUUUGUAUUUCAGACUCUAAAUUUUUAUAAUUUCUUUUUGGUUGAUAUUGUGGUGACAAAUUCGAUUGGGGGAGGAGAAGAGAAAUCUGAAGAUUUUGUAUUUUUUCCCCAUCAACCUUCAACAUCGAACUCGUAAGGAGAGGCGGUAUCUUGCUUGGAGCAGGCUGUAAAUAGCUUCCUUGGAAUGGAAAACUCAAUAUGUGUGCUAGAUUCUAUAAGAUGUCGAGAGUGAGCAGAUCAAAGAUAGUGGGAUGCCUUGGUUGUGGUUCAGUCAUACAAUCCCAGAUGUAAAGUUCCGUAUAGCAGUAUCUCAAUAAGUGAUUUGGACCUUUGCUUAUCCAAAGCAUUGCUACUGCUCAAAACUGUGGUAAUAUAUUUCAUCUGUGAGAGCUAUUCGGGAUUGCCGGAUCAGCAGUAUAGUAUCAUUUUUCGGAAGUAGAAACCACAUUCAUUAUUGAUGUUAUUAAUCAUAUUAUUAGUAAUAUAUGACCAUUUUAUGAUGGCUAUGAUAUGAUCUUGAGAUUAAAAGAUCUGCACCCUCGUCUUAGUGCAUUGGCUAUCACGUUUACUGUCAACACUCUAGAUCUUUUUCGCAGUGGAAUCAAUAUUGUAAUCUAUCCUA